AGUUAGGAUUGGAUCGAAGAAUUAGUUAGAGUUGGAACAAAGUUCUUGAGCUCUAUUUGGAUUAGGACUGAACUAACCCACCACCCAUCUAUUUAAGUGAAAUCUCCACUCCCCACCUCUCUUCACAUGGAAUAACUCACACCCCAAAUCAGAUGUGCACCCCCUCUCCUCUCUUCCGUGAGAAAAUAAGGUGGCCUCCCCUCUCCAACAUGCUAAAAAGAAAGGAGGAGCAUCCAAGAGUUGGACGCCCCAAACCCCAUACAUCUCAAGCCUCUUCUCCUACCUCUUUUUGAAGGAUUUUGUGAGAGUUUGAUUACUAAUUCUUAGGCAUCAAAGAGAGGCUCCUCUACUAGUUUUACAAUAAAAAAUUAGAGA
rnacentral:lncRNA from 1 species